rnacentral:rRNA from 1 species
CAUAGGUUAAUGAGGCGAACCGGGGGAACUGAAACAUCUAAGUACCCCGAGGAAAAGAAAUCAACCGAGAUUCCCCCAGUAGCGGCGAGCGAACGGGGAGCAGCCCAGAGCCUGAAUCAGUGUGUGUGUUAGUGGAAGCGUCUGGAAAGGCGCGCGAUACAGGGUGACAGCCCCGUACACAAAAAUGCACAUGCUGUGAGCUCGAUGAGUAGGGCGGGACACGUGGUAUCCUGUCUGAAUAUGGGGGGACCAUCCUCCAAGGCUAAAUACUCCUGACUGACCGAUAGUGAACCAGUACCGUGAGGGAAAGGCGAAAAGAACCCCGGCGAGGGGAGUGAAAAAGAACCUGAAACCGUGUACGUACAAGCAGUGGGAGCACAGAGCAAUCUGUGUGACUGCGUACCUUUUGUAUAAUGGGUCAGCGACUUAUAUUCUGUAGCAAGGUUAACCGAAUAGGGGAGCCGAAGGGAAACCGAGUCUUAACUGGGCGUUAAGUUGCAGGGUAUAGACCCGAAACCCGGUGAUCUAGCCAUGGGCAGGUUGAAGGUUGGGUAACACUAACUGGAGGACCGAACCGACUAAUGUUGAAAAAUUAGCGGAUGACUUGUGGCUGGGGGUGAAAGGCCAAUCAAACCGGGAGAUAGCUGGUUCUCCCCGAAAGCUAUUUAGGUAGCGCCUCGUGAAUUCAUCUCCGGGGGUAGAGCACUGUUUCGGCAAGGGGGUCAUCCCGACUUACCAACCCGAUGCAAACUGCGAAUACCGGAGAAUGUUAUCACGGGAGACACACGGCGGGUGCUAACGUCCGUCGUGAAGAGGGAAACAACCCAGACCGCCAGCUAAGGUCCCAAAGUCAUGGUUAAGUGGGAAACGAUGUGGGAAGGCCCAGACAGCCAGGAUGUUGGCUUAGAAGCAGCCAUCAUUUAAAGAAAGCGUAAUAGCUCACUGGUCGAGUCGGCCUGCGCGGAAGAUGUAACGGGGCUAAACCAUGCACCGAAGCUGCGGCAGCGACGCUUAUGCGUUGUUGGGUAGGGGAGCGUUCUGUAAGCCUGCGAAGGUGUGCUGUGAGGCAUGCUGGAGGUAUCAGAAGUGCGAAUGCUGACAUAAGUAACGAUAAAGCGGGUGAAAAGCCCGCUCGCCGGAAGACCAAGGGUUCCUGUCCAACGUUAAUCGGGGCAGGGUGAGUCGACCCCUAAGGCGAGGCCGAAAGGCGUAGUCGAUGGGAAACAGGUUAAUAUUCCUGUACUUGGUGUUACUGCGAAGGGGGGACGGAGAAGGCUAUGUUGGCCGGGCGACGGUUGUCCCGGUUUAAGCGUGUAGGCUGGUUUUCCAGGCAAAUCCGGAAAAUCAAGGCUGAGGCGUGAUGACGAGGCACUACGGUGCUGAAGCAACAAAUGCCCUGCUUCCAGGAAAAGCCUCUAAGCAUCAGGUAACAUCAAAUCGUACCCCAAACCGACACAGGUGGUCAGGUAGAGAAUACCAAGGCGCUUGAGAGAACUCGGGUGAAGGAACUAGGCAAAAUGGUGCCGUAACUUCGGGAGAAGGCACGCUGAUAUGUAGGUGAAGUCCCUCGCGGAUGGAGCUGAAAUCAGUCGAAGAUACCAGCUGGCUGCAACUGUUUAUUAAAAACACAGCACUGUGCAAACACGAAAGUGGACGUAUACGGUGUGACGCCUGCCCGGUGCCGGAAGGUUAAUUGAUGGGGUUAGCGCAAGCGAAGCUCUUGAUCGAAGCCCCGGUAAACGGCGGCCGUAACUAUAACGGUCCUAAGGUAGCGAAAUUCCUUGUCGGGUAAGUUCCGACCUGCACGAAUGGCGUAAUGAUGGCCAGGCUGUCUCCACCCGAGACUCAGUGAAAUUGAACUCGCUGUGAAGAUGCAGUGUACCCGCGGCAAGACGGAAAGACCCCGUGAACCUUUACUAUAGCUUGACACUGAACAUUGAGCCUUGAUGUGUAGGAUAGGUGGGAGGCUUUGAAGUGUGGACGCCAGUCUGCAUGGAGCCGACCUUGAAAUACCACCCUUUAAUGUUUGAUGUUCUAACGU